UAACCCACAAUGAGGUAGUCCAGCAAGAAGGAUAGCAAUACACAUAAUGACAUUGCAUUGACAAAGUAGACCGGAUGAAGAAACACUGAACUGAAAGGAACUUACGGGGAAAGGAGAUAAUGGGGCUAAUUAAUGACACACACCUGAACCAUACGACACGAUCAUGACAGAAACCAGGGCAACAUUUUUAGAAUUACACUAACAGGUCUUAAAAGAUUAGUUAACUAAAAAUGAAAAUUCUGUCAUUAAUUACUCACUCUCAUCUCAUUCCUCAGCUAUAAGACCUUUAUUCAUCUUCAGAACACAAACUAGGAUAUUUUGAUGAAAUCUGAGAGCUCUUUGACACUACAUAGACAAGUCAGCAACAACUGAAAUGUUUCCUCUUUGAUCUCGUCAAAAAAUAUCUUGUGAGAAUGACGAGGGUAAGUAAUUAAUAGCGGAUUUUUAAUUUAUGGGCGAACUAAUCCUAUAAACUUGCUAUCAGACAAGCAUGUCAUCAGAGAUUUAGCAAAGUUUUAGAAACCUUGUUUUAAUGAUUUAGAAUACUAUUCUGUGUGCACGUUUUUAAUUUAUUUCAAGAUAAAGUUUAUUCCUACGCUGGUCUUUAAGGUGGUUUUAAGCAUUUCCAACUAAGACGUAUUUUGGCAUACACAUACAGUAAUAUGUUUGCAGGGACAGCAGCUCUCACAGAAUCUUCUGUGUUAGCAAACCAGGUGUCCCUAGGGUUCAUAAUCUUAAUCUGUGGCCAACAUUUGAUCUUAUUUUGGGCUUGUCCUGAGUUAGACUUCGGGUGCUCAUCACGUUCGUGGCCUUAGAUAGUUGCAGAGCGGCAGUGUACCCUGAUCCUGUGACAUGCAAGGACAGAUGCUCUGAGUGCAUGUCUCGCUCUGCUUUGAGCACACACUCCCUUUCCUGACCUUGCAUGAUACAGCACACAAACCUUGACUGGUAUUGGAUUUCUCAAUGGCAUGGAGUAUAGAACGGCAGUGCAGAUACUGUAGGUUUUACCGCAAAAGGAUUAUUAAAGAGUGCAUCAUAAAAUUGUUAUAUUUGCACCCAGAACAGUGGCUAUUAGAACUAAGUGUAAAUAGGGAUAGAGGUUAUUUACACUAUAUAUAUACUAUAUACACUAAAUGAAAAUAGGAUAUUUUCUUAGUGACAGAUGCUAUUUACACAGUGCAAAUAGCUAUUCUAUUUACACUGUCAAAAUAACAGAAUUUUCUGCUAUGUAUACUACUUAUUGCAAUAUUGGAUAACUACUUUGUAAAUUUUAUUUUUCAUUUAAAUUAUUAAAUGGGUGCCACCUUUUUGGCACUAUAAAGCCCUCCCUACACCUACCCUUACCUUACCGAUACUUUAUUUUCAACUUUUUGGAUUAUUUCCUUCAUUCUUGUUGAAAAAUAAGAAGCUUUUUCUGGUGUGAUAUCAAAUUUGGAAAGGUUGAAAUAAAAAAGUUUGAACCCGGGGUCGAUUGCAUCAAAAGGCGUACGCCACCUGCUUUCUCAUCUGCACCACUAAAGCCGAUGACUAACGCUUGUCUUUUCUAGUGUUGACUAGCCACACAAUUGGAGGGUGGAGUUAGAGCAAAUAGCCUCUGCCAACAAGGCAAGCUAUUUAGUGUGCAAAAAGGCGGCAAAGGUCUAUCGUCUAACAGAAGAGGAGUCCGGCUAGUUUCAUUAACUUGGCUAUGUCAUAAUAUAUGUGCUCUGCUCAUGUUGCAGCACUGACCUGCUGUGACUCUUUUGAAAUCCUAGUAAACCCAGGCUGGCAUCGCUGCUGACAUCUCAGUGACUAGUGAGAUCUCCUCUGACUCAGCGGCCAUCGUUUACCUGUCAACAACACCUCCAAAGGUUUUAUAACCAAGCUACAGCAUUUUAUUAUCCCCUGAAUGAGUCCAAUAGGACUUAAGAUGACAUAACUUAAUUUCUUAAAUGAAGAACACAUAAUUAAAAUAAUCUCGUAAUUCUGUAGUGUACGUAGAAACGUAACGUUACCUUUUCAAAAGGUACACGUUUAUCCUAGGUGCUAAUGUGUAUGAUAUUUGUUGCUUGUAAACAAAAAAAAAGUCACGAGCAGAAUCAGACAUUUAGACAGAAGAACCACCUGAAAUAAAACUGCCGCUCGCUGAUAGCUGAUUGUAAAACUCAUUUAACAUUAUGUUUAUGAAUACAUGCAAAUCUAAUAUUUGACCUGCAAUCAGUUUGGUAGGUAAGAGUUGUAAAAUAAAAGAGAACAUCCAGCAUUGUUUAUCUGUACGAUACUUCGUGGGGUUUUUUCCCUGGUGUUUCCAUCGACACCUGAGAUGGGGAAAAAUCGUGGAUCCUGUCUCCAAAGCCUGAUUUAUUUAUUCAUUAUGCCCUAUCACACUGCCAUCUAGUGCGCAUGCCUUUAAUAACAGCUUGCUCUUGAACGCAAUACCAACUAUCACCAAUUAAUUACUCUUUAACACACACACACACACACACACAAGUAUGUUUUUGUGAAAAGUGGGGAUGUUCCAUAGGCUCAAAUUGUUUUUAUGCUGUACAAACGAUACACACUAUACACCUACCCACACCUCUUACAGGAAACUUUGUGCCAUUUCAGAUCGUCAAAACACUACAUUCUGGUGAGAUUUAUAAGCCUUUCAUAAAUGGGGACAUGGGGUAAAGUCCUGAAAAGACACCUUCUCCUUGUAAUACCCGUCAUAAUACAAAUUUAUCACAAAAAUAACUUUAAUUUAAAAAUCUGUCACAAAAGCGCACACACACACACACACACACACACACACACAGACACACCUGUGAAUUGUGCAGACUUUCUGUAGCUUUCUAUUACUUUUACACUGACUAAUAAACAAUAUUUUCUAUCCCCUAACCCAACCCCUUACAGUACACACACACACACACACACACUAGUUCAAUGGUCAUCACUGUUAAGCAUGGACUGAACAAAAAAAGAAGAUGUAAUUUCUAUAAUGAGUUUUAUUUUUAACCAGAUCAUUUUAAGUAAAUAUCAGACAGUGAACUUCGUCAUCUGUUCUUCAUACAGCUGGACUGGCAGAUGGACUGUAAACAUUGUGAACUGUAUGGCACACUGCACAUUUACAAAUAACAUUGGUGGCCAAAAUACUAACGUAUUAGUUGAUAAAAAUAGCAACUUUCUUUUUUCUGCAAAUUAGUUGAUUUGACAUUUAAGACUAUUAAGACUCACACACAACACAAAACACACACAAAGCUAUUGCUUGCCGUUACGAGCAGCGUAUUACUGCACUGUUAAUUAAAGAUGUCACUACUGACAAAGACAACUCAAAAUAACAUUCAAAAAUCACAGCCUAACUAUCAGGGCAGAUCAGAAUGACAGUGACAUUCUUUAAGUGCUUCUUCAAAAGUUCAGUUUAUAGCCACGGCUACUUUUCCAGCAACCAGGCGAUUUAGUUUCUAAUCUAAUUUCCCUUUUGCAGGCACACUGACAUGACAAGCUGAUUUACGUGUUUUCGAUACACAUGAGAUGUUUACUACAGAAAUAUGGAAUGUGUUAGGAGGUUUUCACAGUUUUCAAAUAACUUUGCAACACAAUCAAUACAGGCAUUUAGGUUAUUGACAGGUUACAAUUACAGUUUAUAGCAGAAGAGUAAACCCUCACUUUUACACAAGAUCACAGACAUUAAACAGGGAGAGAGAAAAAAAGAAAAGUAACACGCAAACAACCACGUUUGGAGGAGUGCAUACACACACAAACACACACACACACACACACAAAAAC